rnacentral:lncRNA from 1 species
CCAGAACCGGGGGCUGGGCAGGCGGCCUGGCCACAUGGGGAGGGAAAUCCUUGUAUCCGGGGGUCCAUGGCCAGGUAGGGAGGAAGCAGGGAGUCACAUAGAGGGGUGGAAGUGAGUGUAGGGGGAAGGGGCCCUGGCCACGCAGGAAAGGAGGAGAGGGUCCUUGACAGCAGGGAGUCCUGGCACCUCCAGAGGUGACUGGCAACUGGCAUGCCAGAUUUGAAGUUGGAAAACUGUUAGAUGGCUCAAAAAGUGACUCUCCCGAAGAUGAAGACACGUGUCAAAAUCUGAGAACUAUGGAUUCAUCCAAGAUAAUGCUCUCCUGCCAGCAAGUUUCUCCUUGGCAAGAUGUCUAUUGCAAUAAUAGGAUCAAGCACAGAGCAUCCCCACCAGCUUCCUUGGUUACAGCUGAUGAAAGUCUCAGGAGAAUCUCCAGCUGAGAAGGAAUUGCUGUACAAGCAAUAUCUGCCAUUUGCAACAAUGGGUGAAUCUAGAGGACAUUGUGCAGAGUGAAGUUAGCCAGACAGAGAAAGACAAAUACUGCAUCA